UCAGUAUAGAAUUGGCGGCGGAUCUGUUCUACGAAAGGUGAGUGAUUGUGAAAUGAAUAGUUUGUAGCCUUGUUGGGAUUAUUACAAAAGUACAUCAUAUCCAUUUUGCAGAUUGAAGUAGGAAUAUCAUUUAAUUUGUACAUAUUUGGAUUGGUAGCUUUUUUGUUUUUGCUUUUUGCAUAAUUUUGUUUUUGUCAGUCAUGCUCAAAUCUGGGUAAUUCUCUACAAAAUUUGAUGUUGUUGACAUAGUUCUUCUUCUUCUUCUUCUUCUUCUUCUCACUAAGAGAUUUACCACAAGUGUCGAUCUAUUAGUUUUCACAACUUUAUGAACGAUUUUAGAUCAAAAAGUUUGUCACGCUAAACUUGCUACUAUCUCACCAAGUUAUGCAAAAUUGUAUAAUUUAAGACACAAGUUCUCAAUUUAGAUUCUUACUUCAAUGUUUGGAUGCAAAAUUUGACCUAAAUUACAAGUUAAAGCGAAUCCAGGUUAAUCUUUUAAACCUGAAUUAUAUUUGGUUUGGAUCUGGAUUCAAUCAUUUUGAUUUAUCUGAUUAAGUUCUCGUGGUUACAUUUUUUUCUCUUGGAACCAAACCCAAAGUUGACCUGAAUGGAUUGCAUCUUUCUAUGAUCCAAAAUGGAUGCAGAUUGUUGUACGAAUAUGGAUCUAGGUAGAUCUAACACUAUUAUAAUCCAUGUACAACCCUACCUAUGCACUAAAGGUAGAGUUGAUGGUAUUUUGGAACCUAUGGAUCUUAUUUUUUUGCUUUUAGUUUAGCGUCAGUUUGUUUUUCUUUAAUCAUAUCCAGAUCUGGUAAAAUUCUCUUCAAAAUUUGAUCUUGUGAGAUAGCUUUUAUUUUUGGUUGCGGUUGUGUGUAAAAACUAUUUUGAUAGAAUAGUUAAUUUUAAAUUUUGUGUGUGUUCUCCCUGGUUUAAUUUUUGUGUAUAAUACAACAGAUCAAAGCUUAUACAUACUACAAAAUGAAUUCUACAUUGGAAUGUUGGUUGAGGCAUACUUUGUCACUUACUCAUUCAUCCUUGUCAUGUAUUUUGACUUAUACUUUUUCUUUACAGAUUCAUAAUAACAUACAUUUUAAGAUGCAGACAAGUACUCAAUUCGUAUUCUUAUAUCGAUGUUAACCCGAUACUACAACACGUGCAAUAUAAUCGAAAGGUGAUUCGUGUUACCAUUUUUUUUCAUUGGACAAUUUGGUCAAAUUUAAUAAUUAUAAUUAAUACAUAUUUAUGUUAUGUUGUUUGCAAGAAUUCAUUAAAUGCGUUUAUAUAUGGGAUUAGGUAAACUGUUGAAGUUGAUUACCCAAAUUGCUCUAACAUGCAUAUUUGAAACCCUAAAUAAUAGUUAAUAAGCUUUCGUUCCACUUCGAUUGAUCGCAAUACCCCAAAAAAGGCAACAACUUAAUAUCUGAUUUAUAUUUUAAUUUUAAUUUUGAAAUUUUUAGACAUCCAACGUAAAAUCAUUCUUAAGCUUCUUUUUUUUUUUCAACAAGACAAAUUUUAUUGAAAAAAAAUCGAAGACAAGUGCGCUAAAAACUGCGCUGCAAGCCCUUUUUAGAUAGCAAAACCAAUCCUACAGAAUACAUGUUUAUUGGAAUCCGCCGUCAUAAUAUUGCUAUUCAUCACUUUUUAUACCCUCCUAAGAAGUUCAACUGCUUCUGGUGCUAGAAACCCAAAAGUAUCAAAAGCAAAAGGAAUGAAACAGUGUUGGUUUGCUACACAUGCUCCCUUGUAUUUUUGUACCUUAGCUGCAGCUGCAUGAAUGGCUGCUUGACCCACUACGAAAUUUCCAUUACCAAACCCCACCCUCAAAGAUGCCCCGGUAAUGUCAACACAUGCAUGUUUUUAUUCUAAACUAAUUGUAUAUAAAAACAUCAGCUGGGCGUAGUGCUGAUCUGCUUGUAAUGUCAUCACAUGCAUUUUUUUUUUUUGGGGGGGGGGGGCAGGGGUGUAUUAUCUCAAAAACACAUAUUUAAAUAAUGAGGUAAAUCAAAGAAUAGUUUGAUUUUAGUCGUAGGUAAACUUAUGAACCACAGAUUGUUACUGUGUUUUAUUAGGAUUUAAGAUAAAAGCAAAAUAUUAUUUCAGAUCAACAAGUCUUUAAGUUAACUAAUACGUACCAUUUAAUUCUAGGAACUUGAACUAAUUACUGGAGGUCCUUUAUACUUUCUACUACAUAUUAAGUUUGCCACAAAAACAUUAACCUAGUACUUAAAAUAUCUUGAAUAUAUUCAGAUAAUUAUAAUCUAAAUGAUGUUUAUUAGUACUACCCGCUAUUGUAACUUUGAUUGGCAAAGUUUUUGUGAGUCAAAGUGAGGUGGCAAAUGAUAAUGUGAGGGUCGGGUGAUGGCCAUCGAGGCAGUUUCAGAAGAGAUCGGUGUUGAUGAAGUGACACAUGAGGAAGCUUUAAGCUUGUCACAAGAGAAAAUCCUAGAAGAGAAACCAAAGCUAGUGACAAUCCGAACAAGGGAGAAUAUUUGAUUUACUGAAAACAAAUUAUUUCACAAAGUACCAACCCCAUGUGUCAGAUUGGUGUGGUUUGACAGAUCUUAUAUCCAUGAAAAAUCACAAAACUUUGUAAAUAUUCAAAAUAUUUUGAUGAAACGAGGAGGUGAAAGUGGAUUAUAACAAAUUUCAGUAAACCCCUUCUUCAUCACCAUCUUUUGAACACAAUUGUUUUUUUAUCAUUAUCAAAUAAAUCCAGCUUCUUUAAAGUUUAUCCAUAUAAAUUCCAAAUCUGAUAUUUCUUUAAAUCUUCCAAUUAUUAAUAAUAAUAAUAAUAAAAAAAAAAAAAAAACUCCAGUUUCAGUUUCAUCUCUAUUUAUAUUGAUGUUGGUAAUAAUCUUCUUCAUGUUUGAUUAGUCACAUAAAUCAUAUUCGAAUCUCAUUUCAAUUAAAAGAAAUCACAAUCCUCCAAAAGGUUGAUUAGUACGUAUAAAGGAAUCGAAAGAAGAUCUGAUCUAAAAGAAUAGAAAGAAAUGUUAUUAUGCAAAUGUUGAAAAUGCGAUUUCACACUCAAGAUCGUUAAAGCCCGUUGUUUUCAUCAGAUAUCUUCGAAAUAUCCAAAAUUUGAAUCAAAAUGGGGAGUUAGUUCUACGUUUCGGGCAUGAUCCGCUCCCUAUUCGGAUUCGGUUUUCAGAAAAUCGGAUAUAUUCAUCGGAUAUUCGCAAAUAUCGACGAUCUAUUAGACCAUAGUUGUGGUAACGACGUCCUUUUAUAAAGGUCCUCAAAUUGUUAUCUUAGUUGUACAGCUUUUCAAUGUGAGAAUUAUUUUUUAAAAUUUAUGGCAGGUAUAAUGAAUAGUGUUGGUGGAUGUUUGACUUUUUUUUUUUUUAUAUGUAUAAUAGGUAUUAAAGGUGGAGCAACAAAUUAAAGUUAAGAUGAAACGCAAGCGAAGAAUGAGUUGCCUUGUUUUCAGUAUCAACUGGAAGAACAAUCCGAGGUUCUGAGAUUCCGUGGAUCUUUUCAUGUUUGGCCACUUAAAUGGUAGGAUGUUGAUAAAAAAAUGUUAAUAAUGGAACAAUGUAGAUAUACAAAAAUGACAAAUUCUUAAAUGUGAUUUACUUUUUUAGUGCAUUGAACUGCUGUGUUCGCAUUCAUUUUUUUUCCAAUGUGAGUACUAUAUAUUUUCAGUGAACUAAGAAAGUAAAGCACACUUAAGAGGUUGUCAUUUUUGUAUGUGUACAAUAUUCCAAAAUUAACAAGUUCUUCAUAUCGACAUCUUACCAUUUAAAUGGCCAAACAUGGAAAGAUCCAUAAAAUCUCAGAUCCCCAGAUUUCUUCUUCCAGUUAUACUGAAAACAGGACAACUCAAUUCUGGCAUAUUCUCGCAGCACCGCUCCAUACGCGAGCCUUUCGUCUUUCUCAGAUGUCGUCAAAGUUUGAUUGGGGAGCUUGUACAGAUCUGAAGGCAACAACUUUAAUUGAAAGUUUAAUACACUCAUUGCAUUUUUCAUGAAGAUGUUUGAUC
rnacentral:lncRNA from 1 species